rnacentral:rRNA from 1 species
GACGAACGCUGGCGGCGUGCUUAACACAUGCAAGUCGAACGGAAAGGCCCUGCUUUUGUGGGGUGCUCGAGUGGCGAACGGGUGAGUAACACGUGAGUAACCUGCCCUUGACUUUGGGAUAACUUCAGGAAACUGGGGCUAAUACCGGAUAGGAGCUCCUGCUGCAUGGUGGGGGUUUGAAAGUUUCGGCGGCUGGGGAUGGACUCGCGGCUUAUCAGCUUGUUGGUGGGGUAGUGGCUUACCAAGGCUUUGACGGGUAGCCGGCCUGAGAGGGUGACCGGCCACAUUGGGACUGAGAUACGGCCCAGACUCCUACGGGAGGCAGCAGUGGGGAAUAUUGCACAAUGGGCGGAAGCCUGAUGCAGCAACGCCGCGUGCGGGAUGACGGCCUUCGGGUUGUAAACCGCUUUCGCCUGUGACGAAGCGUGAGUGACGGUAAUGGGUAAAGAAGCACCGGCUAACUACGUG